rnacentral:lncRNA from 1 species
UUACAUUUGUAAUUUAUUUACUGUAAAGAAAGGGUUGCCUCAACUUAACUUUUUACAAUCCAUAACAAAAAGAGAAUAAAAGGGUAUGCCAAAGUUUAAAAAAUCUCUUAUAAAUUCAAUUAGAAAGCCAAUGCUCAAACUAUUCAGCCCAAGCAUAUAGCAAAAUAUCUGGGUAAACUACAAGCUUAGAACCUUCAUUCAAGAAACAGCCUUCAAUUGCAAUGGCCUGAAAACAAAGUCAGCGUUCAAAUUAGCAGUGCCACAUUGUGAGGUAAUUUUGAGUAGUGUGUAUGAAACGCAGUACAUGACACAAUAGCUUGAAAAUAUCUACCUCUAACCAUUCCCUUGUAAAUAAUGCAGUAAACAUCAAGCUCAUAACUAUUCAAAAUGUCAAAAAACUAACUACCUAAUAGUUGGCCUAAUGUAAGCAUGUGAAAUGAACUUUCUAGUGGUUUCCUUUCCUUGGUUAGCUGCACAGAAACUUGCAAAUAACAAUAAGCUUGCUCCUAACAUGAACAAAGCAUAACACAACAUAUUAGGUGACAAUGUAGCUACUACUUUUAGCAACAGAUGUCCAAAUAUUAGCAUAGUUUAAAUACCUAUGCUACUUAAUAAGAACAUUCAGUAGAAAUACUUAAUCCAUGAUCGUUUACAUUGUCAUAUAUUAAAACUACUUCCCAUACUGUAUACCUAAUAACACGUGUGAGACAUUUGAGAAUGUGAGGAUUCCAAAUCACAGAGCACACUAAUUAGAUAAAAGAAGAACCAAAAAAAUUAAAAAUAUAAGUGAUGAGAUCACAAAGAAGGAAGUAGAGGACAAACUUUUUUAAAUGUCAUUUUAAAAAUUCAACAGGUGGAGUGACAUCAAUGGAUGGUUUCCUUCGACAAUUCUUCAACAAUGUAUAUGAAAAUAAGAUGCACGCCCAUGAAAACAACUACUGCAAGUACAACAACCAAGGGCUCACAACAUUUAUUGUUGACAGUUCAAAGUUACGAUUAGAAAACAAAAAAACAAUUUUAAGAUAAUCAAAACAUAUUUCACAAACUCUGCUAUUCAAAUUAAAUUUAACUAAAACCAAUAAAAUCAAAAAUUUCAGAACCGAUCAUUAAUAAGCAUAAAAACUAUUUCCCCCCAAUUCCUAAACAAUAUACCAAAUUAAUCUAUAAAAAUAAAGCAACAAAAUACAAAAGAAAGAUAUCAAAAGUUAAUACCUCAACGACGAGAUACUCGAGGACGGAGGACAGAUAGAGAAGGUAAAUGAAAUUUGUUUUCGCAGCAACUCCACUUUCUGGCCUUUGAAUAUG